GGAGCGGUAUCGAAGUGGUCAUAACGGGGCUGACUCGAAAUCAGUUGAUCCGAAAGGGUCCGUGGGUUCGAAUCCCACCCGCUCCGCCA
rnacentral:tRNA from 1 species